AACGAACGCUGGCGGCAGGCCUAACACAUGCAAGUCGAACGCCCUAGCAAUAGGGAGUGGCAGACGGGUGAGUAACACGUGGGAACCUUCCCUAUAGUACGGAAUAGCCCAGGGAAACUUGGAGUAAUACAGUAUACGCCCGUGAGGGGAAAGAUUUAUCGCUAUAGGAUGGGCCCGCGUAGGAUUAGCUAGUUGGUGAGGUAAUGGCUCACCAAGGCGACGAUCCUUAGCUGGUCUGAGAGGACGACCAGCCACACUGGGACUGAGACACGGCCCAGACUCCUACGGGAGGCAGCAGUGGGGAAUAUUGGACAAUGGGCGCAAGCCUGAUCCAGCCAUGCCGCGUGAGUGAUGAAGGCCUUAGGGUUGUAAAGCUCUUUUGUCGGGGACGAUAAUGACGGUACCCGAAGAAUAAGUCCCGGCUAACUUCGUGCCAGCCGCCGCCGUAA
rnacentral:rRNA from 1 species